rnacentral:rRNA from 1 species
AUUGAACGCUAGCGGGAUGCCUUACACAUGCAAGUCGAACGGAGUGGCGAACGGGUGAGGAAUGUAUCGGAACGUGCCCAGUAGCGGGGGAUAACUACGCGAAAGCGUAGCUAAUACCGCAUACUAUUGGAGCGGCCGAUACCGGAUUAGCUAGAUGGUGGGGUAAAGGCUCACCAAGGCGACGAUCCGUAGCUGGUGUGAGAGGAUGACCAGCCACACUGGGACUGAGACACGGCCCAGACUCCUACGGGAGGCAGCAGUGGGGAAGUUUGGACAAUGGGGGAAAGCCUGAUCCAGCCAUCCCGCGUGUGUGAUGAAGGCCUUCGGGUUGUAAAGCACUUUUGGCAGGGAAGCGGUACCUGCAGAAUAAGCACCGGCUAACUACGUGCCAGCAGCCGCGGUAAUUC